rnacentral:rRNA from 1 species
AUUGAACGCUGGCGGCAGGCCUAACACAUGCAAGUCGAACGGUAACAGGAAACAGCUUGCUGUUUCGCUGACGAGUGGCGGACGGGUGAGUAAUGUCUGGGAAACUGCCUGAUGGAGGGGGAUAACUACUGGAAACGGUAGCUAAUACCGCAUAACGUCGCAAGACCAAAGAGGGGUACCUUCGGGCCUCUUGCCAUCGGAUGUGCCCAGAUGGGAUUAGCUAGUAGGUGGGGUAACGGCUCACCUAGGCGACGAUCCCUAGCUGGUGUGAGAGGAUGACAAGCCACACUGGAACUGAGACACGGUCCAGACUCCUACGGGAGGCAGCAGUGGGGAAUAUUGCACAAUGGGCGCAAGCCUGAUGCAGCCAUGCCGCGUGUAUGAAGAAGGCCUUCGGGUUGUAAAGUACUUUCAGCGGGGAGGAAGGGAGUAAAGUUAAUACCUUUGCUCAUUGACGUUACCCGCAGAAGAAGCACCGGCUAACUCCGUG